UGUGCAGCUGUUCUCACAGGCC
rnacentral:piRNA from 1 species